GUGAAAGAGGUGAUCAGUGUGCAACUGAAACUGAAAAUGGCAGAACUGAUUCACCAAAUGGGAAGGUGGUGGAAGAAAAACAAAAUGUUGGAGGUUCCACAUUUGGUAGUAAAAGAAGUGACUUGUGGUCUUAUUUGAGAUCAUGGCUUCCAUUUUGGGAUAAUUCUAACAGUGGGAUUGGCAGCUAUGACAUAACCAUUGAACCAGCAAUGAUACCUUUGGAGG